rnacentral:misc_RNA from 1 species
UUGGAAUUGCAGUUUGUUAGCUGCACAAAAUAGAACCCUAAAAGUUAUAGUUGAUACGAGCUGCUAUAUGACUUUGUCUUGUUGUGUUGAGAAGAAGAGACAGAAAAUGAAGAGAUCAUAAAUCAAGAACAAACAAAUCUGCAUAUAUUUACAUCUUUACAUACAUAUUACAGGUAAAGAUGUAUACUUGUGUAUGUCAAUUCCCAUGACAGGGAUUUAUUCACGCAAAGCUGUGAAGAAGGCAUUUAGACAGAGCCCUUGAUGGCCUUGCUAUAACCAACUUGAUCAUAAAACCUCGACCACAGCAUAACUCCUCCAUACUUAGCAGAACCCUUGAUAGCAACAAGAACUUUUGAAGUGAGAUCAGUUGCAGGGAUGAACCCACCUAUAGCUGCCUCAGGAGCAGCGGGUAAUCCCAAGAAAAUCUUGUUAGCAGGAAUACUUGAAGUCCAUUGCUUCCAUGCCUCUUCAAGAUUGGUAAUGCUUUCAGAGGAGCAUUGGCAGGGAGGAUUGUUAUAGAAUUGAACCCAAACAUAGUCAAAAAGACCUGUCCUAAGGGCAUUUCCUACCCAAACAUCAGGAAAUGGGCACUGGGGAGCUGCAGUUAAGCAUACUUUUUUACCUUUCCUGCUAUAUGCUGAAAGGAACCUUGCCAGAUCAUCCCAGUGUUGGUUUGUUCCUCCUGCAAUGACGAAAUCAAUCCCAUCUAGAACAGCUGGUCCAAGUGGGCGAGAAGAAGAUUCACCACGUAAAAAGUUAUUCCAAAGAUAAGUAGCAACGUGCCUGGCAUCCUCCACAGAUGUAAGAUGGUAAUUCACAAAUCCUCCACCGAUAGAAAGCAUCACCUUGAUGCCUUUGGCUUGACAUGAUUUAAUGUCAGAGCUUAAGCCUGUGCAACCAUUGCUGUAUGGAUCACAAUGGCCAGCGAGGUUGAUCAUAGGAGUCGUACCAUUGCCAAAAGUAGGCAGGAAAGCUAUAUUUACAAAUUCAUAAUUUCCUGUGGCACAAGUCUCGGCUAAGGUCCCCUCAAUUACAUUCUGGCCCCAGUAGAUUCCUAUUCCACCAGCAUCAGAACCCAAAAUUAGUGUUAGAAUUACUGAUAAGAGGAAUAACACUGAGAUUGAUGAACUCGAUGCCAUGCUAAAACAGAUUUGGAAAUGUUUUGAGUCACUAGCUAGUAUAUAUGUAAUGCCCUUCUCCCUACUAAAAACUUAUCUCUUGCUUCCCAGGAUCGUGGAGUCUAGCCAAUUAGAGCAUUUAAAAUCAAAAAAUUGAUACUCAGCAAUCACCUUAUAUUACCUGCAAAACUGGUGUGUUGGAGAAAGGGCGAGUGAAACUCGGUGAGAGGAUAGACCAUCAACAAGGAGUAAUAGCUCAGAAUUAGGUACUAGCUAUCGCCACCACUCAAGGUGGUGUGUGGGACCCACGCGUGGCUGCCGAAACCCUGACCGGCAACGCACCUCCACCACAGAUGCGCCUGUAUCCUGAGUCUGUUGGCACUCACCACGUGCACAAAUGAGCACUAGUUUACCCAGAUCGAAGCUUUUCCUUAUUCAUUUCUCUCUCCUCGGACUUGAAAACGGCCUAACUUGGUAUCUAUUGAAAGCUUAGAUAAUGAGGAUGAAGACGAAAAUGAAAUCCUUCAUUGUCACGCUUGUUCGUUUAUUUCGACGGAAAAGGUGAAUUUCUAUUCGGUCCCAUAGAUUUCUCUCUAAAAGCUUAAUUUCUCUCUAAACGACAAACCCAACAGUCAAGGCUCCAAGUAGAAGGAGUUGGUGACUGGGAUUUCAAGUUAUGGCUGCUAGAAAUUUGAGGGAGAGGCAAUGGGUAAUAUUCACUCUGCCCUCCACUUCUUUCCCCUUUUCUUCUUCCCUUCUCUGUUGACUUUUGAAUAAAAUUCCAUUUUGAUC